rnacentral:rRNA from 1 species
UAAUACGUAGGGUGCGAGCGUUGUCCGGAAUUAUUGGGCGUAAAGGGCUCGUAGGCGGUUUGUCGCGUCGGGAGUGAAAACCAGGUGCUUAACACCUGGCUUGCUUUCGAUACGGGCAGACUAGAGGUAUUCAGGGGAGAACGGAAUUCCUGGUGUAGCGGUGAAAUGCGCAGAUAUCAGGAGGAACACCGGUGGCGAAGGCGGUUCUCUGGGAAUGACCUGACGCUGAGGAGCGAAAGUGUGGGGAGCGAACAGGAUUAGAUACCCUGGUAGUCCACACCGUAAACGUUGGGCGCUAGGUGUGGGGUCCAUUCCACGGAUUCCGUGCCGCAGCUAACGCAUUAAGCGCCCCGCCUGGGGAGUACGGCCGCAAGGCUA